UAGGGAAUAUUGGACAAUGGGGGCAACCCUGAUCCAGCCAUGCCGCGUGCAUGAAGAAGGCCCUAUGGGUCGUAAACUGCUUUUGUACGGGAAGAAACCUUACCAUGCGUGGUAAGUUGACGGUACCGUGAGAAUAAGGAUCGGCUAACUUCGUG
rnacentral:rRNA from 1 species